rnacentral:rRNA from 1 species
GAUGAACGCUGGCGGCGUGCCUAACACAUGCAAGUCGAGCGAUUUACUUCGGUAAAGAGCGGCGGACGGGUGAGUAACGCGUGGGUAACCUGCCCUGUACACACGGAUAACAUACCGAAAGGUAUGCUAAUACGAGAUAAUAUGCUUUUAUCGCAUGGUAGAAGUAUCAAAGCUUUUGCGGUACAGGAUGGACCCGCGUCUGAUUAGCUAGUUGGUGAGGUAACGGCUCACCAAGGCGACGAUCAGUAGCCGACCUGAGAGGGUGAUCGGCCACAUUGGUACUGAGACACGGUCCAAACUCCUACGGGAGGCAGCAGUGGGGAAUAUUGCACAAUGGGCGAAAGCCUGAUGCAGCAACGCCGCGUGAGCGAUGAAGGCCUUCGGGUCGUAAAGCUCUGUCCUCAAGGAAGAUAAUGACGGUACUUGAGGAGGAAGCCCCGGCUAACUACGUG